rnacentral:rRNA from 1 species
UACGAAGGGGGCUAGCGUUGCUCGGAAUUACUGGGCGUAAAGCGCACGUAGGCGGUCUUUUAAGUCGGGGGUGAAAUCCUGGAGCUCAACUCCAGAACUGCCUUCGAUACUGGAAGACUUGAGUCCGGGAGAGGUGAGUGGAACUGCGAGUGUAGAGGUGAAAUUCGUAGAUAUUCGGAAGAACACCAGUGGCGAAGGCGACUUACUGGACGACUGUUGACACUGAGGUGCGAAAGCGUGGGGAGCAAACAGG